UCAUGGCUCAGAUUGAACGCUGGCGGCAGGCCUAACACAUGCAAGUCGAGCGGUAGAGAGAAGCUUGCUUCUCUUGAGAGCGGCGGACGGGUGAGUAAUGCCUAGGAAUCUGCCUGGUAGUGGGGGAUAACGUUCGGAAACGGACGCUAAUACCGCAUACGUCCUACGGGAGAAAGCAGGGGACCUUCGGGCCUUGCGCUAUCAGAUGAGCCUAGGUCGGAUUAGCUAGUUGGUGGGGUAAUGGCUCACCAAGGCGACGAUCCGUAACUGGUCUGAGAGGAUGAUCAGUCACACUGGAACUGAGACACGGUCCAGACUCCUACGGGAGGCAGCAGUGGGGAAUAUUGGACAAUGGGCGAAAGCCUGAUCCAGCCAUGCCGCGUGUGUGAAGAAGGUCUUCGGAUUGUAAAGCACUUUAAGUUGGGAGGAAGGGUUGUAGAUUAAUACUCUGCAAUUUUGACGUUACCGACAGAAUAAGCACCGGCUAACUCUGUGCCAGCAGCCGCGGUAAUACAGAGGGUGCAAGCGUUAAUCGGAAUUACUGGGCGUAAAGCGCGCGUAGGUGGUUAGUUAAGUUGGAUGUGAAAUCCCCGGGCUCAACCUGGGAACUGCAUUCAAAACUGACUGACUAGAGUAUGGUAGAGGGUGGUGGAAUUUCCUGUGUAGCGGUGAAAUGCGUAGAUAUAGGAAGGAACACCAGUGGCGAAGGCGACCACC
rnacentral:rRNA from 1 species